UGAACGUUGGCGGCGUGUUUAAGGCAUGCAAGUCGCGCGACGUGUUCCCGCAAGGGAAUUACGAGCGGCAAACGGGUGAGUAACACAUUGGUAACCUGCCUUCAAGACGGGCAUAGCUCUCCGAAAGGAGAAUUAAUUCCCGAUAGUCAUGCGGGGUCAUAAGACAUUCGCAUGUAAAUCCCGUAAGGGGCUUGAAGAAGGGCCUAUGGCUUAUCAGCUAGUUGGUAGGGUAAUGGCUUACCAAGGCUAUGACGAGUACCGGGCGUGAGAGCGCGGACCGGCUCACUGGGACUGAGACACUGCCCAGACUUCUACGGAAGGCUGCAGUCGAGAAUAUUCCACAAUGGGGGAAACCCUGAUGGAGCGACGCCGCGUGCAGGAAGAAGCCCUUCGGGGUGUAAACUGCUUUUAUGAGGGACGAAUACGUGACGGUACCUCAUGAAUAAGAGGUUGCUAACUCUGU
rnacentral:rRNA from 1 species